AAGUCCAACCAGACAACUACCGGAUAAGUGGGUUAUGGUCUGAAAAAACAACUUUUAAAACCGCGAGCCCACCGCCUUGUUCCUUCAGGAAACGACGAAGACUAUGGUGGAGCUGUGAGGAGGAGGAUGGAGCGGAGGGAGAACCUUCAUCCCCUGAUGGUCCUGUCUGCAGAGCAAACGUCUGGAACCCUCAGAGGGAGGAAAGGCUGCAGGCCGGAGGGCAGGAGAGAUGUAAUGUCAGCAGGCGACCACAAGAUGGCAGAAGACUAAAACCAGCAGUGCGGGUUGUUCGUCACGCCUCGGCGCUGCGGGAGACGGCGGCAUGGAUUCUCUGAGGAGAGGCUUCGCCAACCUGCGGACGCUCAUGGAAAGCCACGGUCAGCCGGCACACGCCGCUGCAGAA